AGCAGCCGCGGUAAUUCCAGCUCCAAUAGCGUAUAUUAAAGUUGUUGCAGUUAAAAAGCUCGUAGUUGAAUUUCGGGAUCAAGGAAUCGGUCAUGCCUCGGUAUGUACUGGUUUUAUUGGUUCUCACCUUCUAAAGAACCAUGAUGUCAUUCAUUUGAUGUUAUGGGGAAUUAGGACUGUUACCUUGAAAAAUUAGAGUGUUUAAAGCAGGCUUACGCUUGAAUACAUUAGCAUGGAAUAAUGAAAUAGGACAUCAGAUUCUAUUUUGUUGGUUUCUAGGAUCGAUGUAAUGAUUAAUAGGGAUAGUUGGGGGCAUUAGUAUUCAAUUGUCAGAGGUGAAAUUCUUGGAUUUAUUGAAGACUAACUACUGCGAAAGCAUUUGCCAAGGAUGUUUUCAUUAAUCAAGAACGAAAGUUAGGGGAUCGAAGACGAUCAGAUACCGUCGUAGUCUUAACCGUAAACUAUGCCGACUAGGGAUCGGAUGAUGUUUAUUUUUAGUGA
rnacentral:rRNA from 1 species